ACAGCAGGAACUGAACAAGAGAACUUGAAAGAGAGCUAGCCAAUCAGAAUCCCAAGCUGAGUAUAUUUCCAUAUAUUUACAGAGGAUAACAGCAAACAGGAUUUCAAGUUGAGAUGAAUGGGAAGUUUACAGAUACAGCUAGAUGGAGACAGCAGAGAAAUCAAUGAAGCUGAGAAAUGGAACAACAUGGACUCUGCUGUGUCCUAGUUUGAUUUUAGUGAAUUAAGAGUUGAUCAUUCAGAGACUGGCACUGUUGCAACUUUGGUCUUGAAGACUGUUUCCAUGAGAAGAAGCAACUGAUGCUGGAGAGAGGUUGAACCUCUAUGCUCCAGGACACGCUGGUUUGACAAUAUGUUGUGGGACUAGAAAACCGCAGCAGCAGAGGUUGCCGGCAGCUUGGAGAGAAGCUGACUAGCAGGGUCAGCAGGGCAACAGAGCCAGCAGGACACCAAAGCCUGCAGCAAAGCAGGGCCACCUAGAGCUCCCACAUGGUGGCAGGGCUGCUGCAAAGCCAGUGGGACCAGUAGGAGCUCCGAUGGGACAGCAGGCUGCCGCGGGAUUGGCAGAGCCACCAGGAGCGAGGCUGAUUCCAAGGGUACCGGACCAGAUGGGUCCAACCUGUAUAUUUAGUCAGGCAUCAUAGUCAAGAGAAAAGAUUUUAACUGCUUGAACAGUCAGUUCACGCUUAGCCUUGGUCUACAUUAGCGAUUUAAGUCAGUAUAAUGAUUUCACUCGGAGGCAUAGAAAAUCUGUGCAUCCCUUGCAGGAAGGCAGCUAUGGAUCUCCAUGCACUGUCCCUACCCCUCAGCACCAUCCUCACAGUUCCCAUUGGCCAGAACAAUUGACCAAUGAGAACUGCAUGGACUAUGCAACACGGUUAUACAGACCUAAUCCCUGGUGCAGACAGUGCUAUGUCAACAGAAGAGCUUCUGAGUCCCAUCUAUACUGCUACUGCUAUGCCAAAAGGAGAACCCACCCCAUCAGUAUAGGUAAGGUCUUCACUAAAGCGCUACAGCUGCAGGAGACUCUAAAGCAAGGGUGGGAAGCCUUCUUUGAGGCAGGAGCCACUGACCCACAGAAAAAUCAG